rnacentral:rRNA from 1 species
AUGGCCCUGGAGGUAAUUUUGCUUCUCGAUUUGGCUCAUGAGUAUAGAGAACUCUCCCAUGAUGAAGCUGACAUCCGGAGAAGUCUAAAGAGGAAGAUCAUUGGAUGGGUUGUACUAGAGAGAUCAAGAAAGAGGCAAAACUCGAGAAUAACUAAUCUGAAAGAAGGAUAUGCUAACACCCAUUACUUCCACUUGUUGAUGAACCAUCGUAAGCAAAAAAAAAAAUGCAUCCACCGCCUCAAGCACAAUGGUGGUUGGGUCACUGAACACAAGCAAAAAGAAGAUAUUAUCCACCGUCACUUCAAGAACAUUGCCAAAAAGAGACCCUCGCUCAAAACGGAUAUCAACUAG